rnacentral:sRNA from 1 species
ACACUGGCCGGGAGACCCGGAGGAAGGACACCCGCGCUGCGUGUGCUGUGGCGUGUGCCUCCUAGUUUAAGGUAGGAGUUGGGCUGAGGAGAGACAGAGCCAGCCAGUCAGAUUCAGGAAGUUGCGUUCCUGACCUCAGUAGCAGAGCUGGGUGCGGUGAAACCUCAGCCAGGGACGCAGGGGGCGCUUUCCUCCACAUCACACUGGUGGCACCCACUGACCGGCAGCGCCGCCUCUCUCCCGGGACCUGGCAGUGGGAGGGAGAGGCAGGAGCAGGGACCCAGACCUCACCCUUGUGCCCAAGUCACUUCAGAGCACCGGAACAGAGCCAGCGGUCCCGCCGGCGGGAAGCCUUCCAACGGACCCAAAGGUAAUGAAUAAAACUGGACAAGAUCAUAUUGAGUGACGUAACCCAGCUAUAGGAAGACAAAUGUCACAUGAUCUCUCUCAUCUGAGGCUCUUAGCUCCACAUCUUUAGAUAGGUGUGAGGUUAAUCCUUAUUGCUGAAGACACCAUUCACUUCAGACACAGAAGCCAGAAGCUCCUGAGCUGGAUCUGGACUGAAAGAUUCCUCCCGGAGGAAGCCUCAAGCACAGCCACAAAGAAUGAUCGGCACCUAUUGUUUAGGAGACUCGAUGAAGGACAUUUCUGUGUCAGUGAUACUUGAAAGCAACAAAAGGAUAAGGUCUUCCCAGAGU